GCUGUAGUUCAGUGGCAGGACACCUGCUUUGCAUGCAGAAGUCACCUGGUUCAAUCCCCAAUGGCAUCUCCA